GCCGAAGUGGUGGAAUGGCAGACACCAGGGACUUAAAAUCCCUUGCCCGUCAGGGCGUGUGCGUUCGAGUCGCAUCUUCGGCACCA
rnacentral:tRNA from 1 species